ACACACAUACAUAUCGUUGACGUUCAUCCGGCUAAGCGUUCAAUGUGGGUUCAUUGUGCCUCUGUAGGUGUUUGUGUCUCCUCUCAGGAGGAUCUAGUCGCUGCGAUUCUAUCGAGUUACUCGGUGCGACACCAUGAAGUCAGGAAGAAGUCAGCACCAGUGCAUCGGAGCCCGAGCCGGUGACCCUGGCAACGUGACGAUGACAUCAUCGGAGCAGGUAAACGGAGGGUCCCUUUGAUAAAGAAUAAGUGACAGUGACUAACACGCAAAGAUAUGCUGCGUAUUAUGAGGUAAAUAUUAAAUCGCAUAUUCAGGGAAUCGUGAGACUGAUUUCAUCAGCAUCCUUUCAGAAGAAUCUCAGUGAAGAUGAAAAGAUUCUGGAAGCUGCUAUUACUGUUAUUAUGAUUACUAUUAUUAUUAUGAGGUCAAUGAUGAUAAAUGUAGGUCCGGUUGACUUUGGAUGGUAUGAAAUAAUUAGACUCUUGAGUUCUCAUCAUGAGAGUGAGAAUAAAAGAAUCCAGAGACUCGACCAGGAGUACAAGUCUUUCUAUUUCUGUUUAGUUCUCUGCUGUCGCCCUCUGCUGGUUCCAAAGAGACUCUGGGGGCAAAUCAGCUGUUAAUCCCUGCAGGGAGUCCAUUCAUACAGUUUACUUAAAGUUACUGUGAGUCAGUUCACUUCAUUUCACAGGAACUAUUUUCUACAACGAGUGUCUCCGGUCGGCAGCCAUGACGUCACGAGAUGAACACGUGGUGUGAUUAAUUACGUCACGUAUGCUCCCAUUUUAUUGAAUGUCCUUCCUGUGAGCACAGAGCCAUAUUUCAUGCUACUAAUUGCACCUGUGUUCACUUACGCGGCGGCAGGUCAGCCUGGCUGCUCUGUGCACAGGGGCGACUACUCCGUCCCCGCGAUGCACGCCGGUGGGAUUUGUGUCCGACCUGCUCUGACAUCACGCAGUGCAUGAUGGGAAACACCUGCUCGACGCCUGACCUCUGCACACUGAUUCAGACGGUUCAACGUGCAGCACGAAAGGUGGACUGAAGACAUUUCUACGGCUGAAUUCUGAGGGAAUGGGGAUUAAAAACGUACUUUUACCUUCAGGGCUGGUGACUUUUAUUCCCGUGCAUCAUUUAGUUUCCUUGCGACCUUUCAAAGACAGAGACCCCAGAUCUCGUUAAUUACCUGACUGUUUGAAGAGGCUUCAUAUCUCUGCAUACAUGACGAACACGUCCCUGCUGCGUGCAUCGCCUCGGAAGGAAACAGAAGGUCACGUGAAUUUGAUCAAAGGUCACGCUGGUAAUGUAAGUUUUAUUUUUACUUUUCAGCUUUUUUGCAUCAAACACAAGACUUUUUUUUCUUCAACUUUCUGAUCACUUUUUAUGUCUUGUUUUAUUUGACCUAUUUGUUUUCUUCAUCCUUUUGUUACUGCAUUCUUUUGAGAUGUCUGUUAUUAACCGGGUGCUACUGCAGGACUUUAAUUAAGGUGACCCGAUGAUUUAGACAAAAUAAAUUAUAAUUCGAUUGCUUAAUACUUUGUAUGCUUUCUAAAAUGUUUGUCCCUGGUGUCAUAAAGGUUCCGUAGGAGGAACAUUGACCCUAAUAACAGCGAAAUGCGCUGGAAUCCACAGGCCACACGAUUUCAAAGAUUACAAAUGUUUUAUAUGAGGAAGUGGUGUAGAUAAUAAAAACUGCUUCAUAUUUGAACAAUAGAUAUUCUUAAAGCUGCAGCCUGUAAACUCCUCACUGAUGACUGUUUAUAGUGUUCUUGCUGCACACAUCUGUCUCCUCUGUGUGUAAGAAGAUUGUCAGCCAGCAGCAGCUUAGCUUAGCUUAGCAUAAAGAUGCUUACAUCAUACAAAUAUGUACACACUAUGUAAUCGUUCACUGUGUUUGCUUCGGCUUCAACUGGGGACGCAGUCGGCAUUUGGAUGGGAGGGAUUUGAAUCCACAGCCUUUAUUUUGUGUGAAAAUGAGUUCUAAUAAAAGCUUUUGAUUUCAUGAAGAGUU